rnacentral:misc_RNA from 1 species
GAUGAAGAACGCAGCGAAAUGCGAUAAGUAAUGUGAAUUGCAGAAUUCAGUGAAUCAUCGAAUCUUUGAACGCACAUUGCGCCCGCCAGUAUUCUGGCGGGCAUGCCUGUCCGAGCGUCAUUUCAACCCUCGAACCCCUCCGGGGGGUCGGCGUUGGGGACCUCGGGAGCCCCUAAGACGGGAUCCCGGCCCCGAAAUACAGUGGCGGUCUCGCCGCAGCCUCUCCUGCGCAGUAGUUUGCACAACUCGCACCGGGAGCGCGGCGCGUCCACGUCCGUAAAACACCCAACUUCUGAAAUGUUGACCUCGGAUCAGGUAGGAAUACCCGCUGAACUUAAGCAUAUCAAUAAGCCGGAGGA